UUGCUGACGAGUGGCGGACGGGUGAGUAAUGUCUGGGAAACUGCCUGAUGGAGGGGGAUAACUACUGGAAACGGUAGCUAAUACCGCAUAACGUCGCAAGACCAAAGAGGGGGACCUUCGGGCCUCUUGCCAUCGGAUGUGCCCAGAUGGGAUUAGCUAGUAGGUGGGGUAACGGCUCACCUAGGCGACGAUCCCUAGCUGGUCUGAGAGGAUGACCAGCCACACUGGAACUGAGACACGGUCCAGACUCCUACGGGAGGCAGCAGUGGGGAAUAUUGCACAAUGGGCGCAAGCCUGAUGCAGCCAUGCCGCGUGUAUGAAGAAGGCCUUCGGGUUGUAAAGUACUUUCAGCGGGGAGGAAGGGAGUAAAGUUAAUACCUUUGCUCAUUGACGUUACCCGCAGAAGAAGCACCGGCUAACUCCGUGCCAGCAGCCGCGGUAAUACGGAGGGUGCAAGCGUUAAUCGGAAUUACUGGGCGUAAAGCGCACGCAGGCGGUUUGUUAAGUCAGAUGUGAAAUCCCCGGGCUCAACCUGGGAACUGCAUCUGAUACUGGCAAGCUUGAAUCUCGUAGAGGGGGGUAGAAUUCCAGGUGUAGCGGUGAAAUGCGUAGAGAU
rnacentral:rRNA from 1 species